rnacentral:rRNA from 1 species
AGAGAGGUCCUGCGCCGAAAAUGUCCGGGGCUGAAACGCGCCACCGAAACUAAGGAACCGAAAGGUUGGUAGGGGAGCAUUGCAUGCGGGAAGAAGCAGUACCGUAAGGAGCUGUGGACUGCAUGGGAGAGAGAAUGCCGGAAUGAGUAGCGAGAAUAAGGUGAGAAUCCUUAUGGCCGAAUAUCCAAGGUUUCCAGAGUAAAGCUGAUCUGCUCUGGGUAAGUCGGGGCCUAAGGCGAGGACGAGAGUCGUAGCCGAUGGACAACAGGUGGAGAUUCCUGUACUGCGGUAUGACAGGACUGUGGGGACACGUAAGGAAAGCGGAAGCCGGGAAUGGAAAGCCCGGUGCAAGCGGGGUACCAGCCACUUUGGCAAAUCCGGGUGGCAAUGGGAAGCCGUGAUGCGGAGCGAAAUAAAGUAGCGAAGUCCGUGAGCCAUGCGUCAAGAAAAGCCGCUAUUGUUUAUACCGUACCCGUACCGUAAACCGACACAGGUGGAUGAGGAGAGAAUCCUAAGGCCGGCGGAAGAAGCAUUGUCAAGGAACUCGGCAAAAUGGCCCCGUAACUUAGGGAUAAGGGGUGCCUGGGAAACCAGGCCGCAGAGAAUAGGCUCAAGCAACUGUUUAGCAAAAACACAGGUCUAUGCGAAACCGAAAGGUGAGGUAUAUGGGCUGACGCCUGCCCGGUGCUGGAAGGUUAAGAGGAGAGGUUAGCGGUAACGCGAAGCUUUGAAUUUAAGCCCCAGUAAACGGCGGCCGUAACAAUAACGGUCCUAAGGUAGCGAAAUUCCUUGUCGGGUAAGUUCCGACCCGCACGAAAGGCGUAAUGAUUUGAGCGCUGUCUCGACAAUGCAUCCGGUGAAAUUGAAGUACCAGUGAAGAUGCUGGUUACCUGCGCCAGGACGGAAAGACCCCAUGGAGCUUUACUCCAGUCUGGUACUGGGACUCGGUAUAGCAUGUACAGGAUAGGUGGGAGGCUAGGAGAUGGUAACGCCAGUUGCCAUGGAGCCGCUGUUGGGAUACCACCCUUGCAGUAUUGGGUUUCUAACCAGCCGCCGUGACCCGGCGGUGGGACAAUGCCAGACGGGGAGUUUGACUGGGGCGGUCGCCUCCGAAAGGGUAUCGGAGGCGCCCAAAGGUUCCCUCAGAAUGGACGGAAACCAUUCGAAGAGUGCAAAGGCAGAAGGGAGCUUGACUGCGACACCGACGGGUGGAGCAGGUACGAAAGUAGGGCUUAGUGAUCCGGUGGUAUUAAGUGGGAAUGCCAUCGCUCAACGGAUAAAAGCUACCCUGGGAUAACAGGCUUAUCACUCCCAAGAGUUCACAUCGACGGAGUGGUUUGGCACCUCGAUGUCGGCUCAUCGCAUCCUGGGGCUGUAGUAGGUCCCAAGGGUUGGGCUGUUCGCCCAUUAAAGCGGUACCGAGCUGGGUUCAGAACGUCGUGAGACAGUUCGGUCCCUAUCCGGCGUGGGCGUAGGAUAUCUGAGAGGAGCUGUCCUUAGUACGAGAGGACCGGGAUGGACGGGCCGCUGGUGCAUCGGUUAGACUGCCAAGUCUACGGCCGAGUAGCCAAGCCCGGAAGGGAUAAACGCUGAAGGCAUCUAAGCGUGAAGCCCCCCUUAAGAUGAGAUAUCCCAUUCGUUAAGAAGUAAACCCCCUUGAAGACGACGAGGUAGAUAGGGCAGAGGUGGAAGUGCAGCAAUGCAUGGAGCUGACUGUUACUAAUCGGGUGAGGGCUUGACCG